GAUCAUGGCUCAGGAUGAACGCUAGCUACAGGCUUAACACAUGCAAGUCGAGGGGAAACGACAUCGAAAGCUUGCUUUUGAUGGGCGUCGACCGGCGCACGGGUGAGUAACGCGUAUCCAACCUGCCCAUCACUUGGGAAUAACCUUGCGAAAGUAAGACUAAUGCCCAAUGACAUCCCACGAAGGCAUCCGAAUGGGAUUAAAGAUUUAUCGGUGAUGGAAUGGGG
rnacentral:rRNA from 1 species